rnacentral:lncRNA from 1 species
UAAACAUUUCAAGUCAUUUGGACCACAGGAACACUCCCGAAAAUACCUUACAAGGUACUGUCCUGUACAGCAAAACUAACAGCAAACCUUCUUCAUCUCAACUCAACAUUUAACUCAUAUUUUUAUCAAAUAAAAGCUAUAGUAACUCAAAUACAUCAUCUUAAUAUACAUUAGCAUGCUUUAACUUUAAACUGUACUCAUGUUUAACACCUCAACAUAGGCAACAAGUUAUAACAUAACAAUUCUCCAUGCAUUCAUCUAAGCCCAAUUAUAACUACUAUUUUUCUUAUUAAAUAAACUAACAUUAAAAAGAAAUAAUAAGCUGGAAUAUUCUUUUCUCUCCUCACCUGCGUCUCUCUCUUUCUCUAUGCUCUCUCUUGCCGUUCUUUUCUCUCUCUCUCGUCCGGCGAGCGUGGCGAGGUCGGCGUCUCUCCUUCCUCCUUCUUUCUUCCCUGCUUCCUCCCAAAUUCUAAAAUCCCAAAUUCUAGGGUUUUCUGCCUCCAUUUUCCCCUCGGAAAUCCGCCCCUCCGGCAAGGCCCGCCGUCACCGCCGCUGUCUCCGUCGCACCGCCACCCCUGCCUUAGGUAUGCUCCCCUCGAUCUUCCUCUCUCAACCUCUAUCUCGCUUUCUCCGCCCUCUCUCUCUGCUCUCCCCCUCGAUCUCACUCUCUGUCUCUUUCUCUGCUGUUGGCGGCCACCGCGGACCGCCGUGGCGUUAGGCAGCGCCGGCGGUCGCGGCCGCAAGUCGCACCUUCGUCGCGGUGGCUCGCGGCUACUAUUGUCGCCGUCUUCUUCUUCUUCUCUAUCUAUUCUAUUUGUUUUUCUGAUUUAAAUCUCUUCAUUUCAGAAAUAGGUGCUCUUCAAUGAACAUUGCCGGUGGAAGGCAUUACCGGUCCAACGAAGCUGCCUUAGUUCUCACUGUUGCUGGUGUUUUUAAGUUUGCAGAUUGAGGAAGAAAUGGUCAGAGUGAGAGAGGAGAGAGUUAUGUUGGGUGGAGUCGGUUCUUGAAGUUGCUAAGUCAAGUUUCAAGCAACGUGUUAUUCCAAUAGCUAAUCUGAGUGCUACGUGUUCUUCUUUGUUGGAGUUGAUUUAUCUAACUCCAUAAAUAUCUCACUUGUUAGUUUGUUUGUUUUGCCUUUCUACACGUGUCUUUGUUUGUAGGUGUUUUUUACCUAGUCAAGACUUUGAGAUUUGAAGCUGCAAACAAGGUAGUAAGGAGGAGAGUUUCGGUUGCCAAAAAGAAGGAAGUGGAGAGAAGGAGAGAGAGAAAAGAGGAGCUUGCUGGCAGCUCCUAAAAUCAAGGGAGAAGUGGACCAAAUCCAACAUCUAUCAAGCGUCCACUUCUUCUAUGAUCAAAGCCACGACUUCAAGCCUUGGGAAGCAAGAUUGAGAAGCCUAUAUAUACCAAGGAGAAGUCUCAGUUCAGAUCACGAACUCAGAGAGAAGAAAUCAAGCUUUAGAGUGAUCUGUGUUGGAGUGAUGUUUCUUGUGUUAGGACAACAUUAGCUAUAGCAUUCUUUGUUUUGUUGGAUUUCGGAGUAUAGCUCUUGAAUCCAGUUUGUGUUUGUUAGUGAGAGUGUCUAGAGUUUAAUACCUAGUUCAUUGUAAAGGUAUUAAACGUGUGUGUCAUUCUCCC